rnacentral:lncRNA from 1 species
AGCCUCAAUGAGAUGCUUUUGGGCUACAAACGGUGCAAAACUUCUCUCACAAGCCAGGAAUGAAAGUUUGAAUUGGGUGCCAGCCUAAUGUCUGUGGGAAGAUUAUUUCAAUCCCUUGGGAAAAGGAGAUCCUCCGUAAGAAGUUAAUACCCUUGGGACAGUAUAUUGGAAAGCUGCAUUUGAUCUCCCCUGACAAAUAUGACAGCAUAUCAUGUCUGAGAAGGUCCUGUCAGUAAAAGGAAUGAAAGGCAUCUGGAUUUCAACCUACAAAAUGAAAUUAAUGACAAAGGACAUGCAAGUGAGUUUGAAAAACAACAAUAACAAAAAAGGAGCCCAGAGGAAUUCUGUGGCACUCAUUGAAGCUGUUUGACUCUUUGAUUUUCCUGGAGCUGUUCAGAUCCCAGUAUAGGGUUUGUUGUUUUCUGGCCAUUCUUUUUCAGCUCUUCAGCAGCAAUGCAUUAUUCUGUAUCCAUGACUCCCAAUCUUUGCAAAUGUACUAAAUUAAAACCUAUGUGAAAUAUUCAUUGGAGGAGUGUGGAAAUCAGCCACAGAGGCAUUUUUAAAGAUCAGAAUGAAACCUUGUUAUCUCAAGAGAAAAGCUCAACAAUUGAAUAAAUAAUAAUAUUGGUCCUUUAGACCUAAGAGU